GGUAAGAUGGCUGAGAGCUAAGCGGCGGAUUGUAGCUCCGUAAACAGAGGCUAGAUCCCUCUUCUUAUCA
rnacentral:tRNA from 1 species